rnacentral:rRNA from 1 species
GAUGAACGCUGGCGGCGUGCCUAAUACAUGCAAGUCGAGCGAACAGACGAGGAGCUUGCUCCUCUGACGUUAGCGGCGGACGGGUGAGUAACACGUGGAUAACCUACCUAUAAGACUGGGAUAACUUCGGGAAACCGGAGCUAAUACCGGAUAAUAUAUUGAACCGCAUGGUUCAAUAGUGGAAGACGGUUUUGCUGUCACUUAUAGAUGGAUCCGCGCCGCAUUAGCUAGUUGGUAAGGUAACGGCUUACCAAGGCAACGAUGCGUAGCCGACCUGAGAGGGUGAUCGGCCACACUGGAACUGAGACACGGUCCAGACUCCUACGGGAGGCAGCAGUAGGGAAUCUUCCGCAAUGGGCGAAAGCCUGACGGAGCAACGCCGCGUGAGUGAUGAAGGUCUUCGGAUCGUAAAACUCUGUUAUUAGGGAAGAACAAAUGUGUAAGUAACUAUGCACGUCUUGACGGUACCUAAUCAGAAAGCCACGGCUAACUACGU